UUUUUGCAGUAGGUAUGUUUGUUUGUUCUUCAGAUGUUGCCCUGUAAUUGAGUCCGGUCUAAAUCGGAAUCUUGGGUUUUUCCAACGGAAAGCCUUUUAUUCGACAGAGGUGCUGCGCUCGUAUGGAACUGCAGAACACGCGGAAAUGCAGUUAAAGGCUGCCACAGGGGGAGCUACAGCUGAGCCGUUCUAUGUCUCUACGAAGCAAGCAAGCCCUGCCAUGCUGUGUCAGAUGCACAUCCCCUGUUUGUCCAGAUGAAUUCCUGGGCCGCACAACAGGAGCUACAGUUAACUAGCAGAGAUAAAGGCCAAAUGUUCCCAGAUUAAGGAAGGGUUGGUGCUGACGACGUCUUUGCUCUCUGUUUUGCUUCCGGCUAAACCCAACUUCAGAAGUCAGGGACAACAGAACGUGCUUUUGAGUGUAAAAGUUGGGAGUCAGCCUCAGUUUUCAUUCAACAGCAAAGUUCUGAAUGCACGCCCAAUGAUGAGACUUCACUGUUAAAAUUUUGGGCUUCCAAAAGUGACUCAGCCAGUAAAUGUACUCAACACAAAACACAAGAGGUGUCAUAGCUCUUGAUUUGAGCCUUGGCUUUGUCGCUAGCUAACAUUAGCAAGACCACAUUGUCUUUGUACCACCUGAGUUAAAGUGAGCGGAAGUUGGCCAGGGAUAUUCACUUUAUGCAGGGUUAUGAAAAACCAGGUUAAGCCAGACUGUGACAAAUACUAGCACCUUGGUGCAAACUGUAACCAAUCAGCUCCAUUUGUUUACAUGGCCAGUUUACUUAUGGUUUAGCACUAGUAAGUAGGUCAGUCACAACUUGUUCCAAUGUUGUUUUAUUAACCCUGGGUUAACCUUAUACCACAGCACAAGGAAACCAGGGUAAAGCUAGCUAAUAAAGACAAAGAGUUUUAUUGUUAUCAGACGUCGUAUAAACAUGGUGUCUACAUUACUCUGACACUCCCUGAAAAAAGGUUUGGCAUUCUGCAGAAAAACCACAUGACCACAAUGAGAGGACUCCCACGGUAGGGUUGCUGGGUGGCUCAUCUUGUUAUAGCACUGUUCUAGUGCACGAAGGUGCCUAUUCAGUAUCAAAUCCGGGCUGUGCCAGCAUUUCACAAUUGGCUUCUAGUGUUCCCUGUGGAUGGAAAGGUUUCAGUCAGCUGGGAUGAUAGUGUCUUACCGGGCACCAGCGCACCCUGCUGGCCACUCGGGCACCCAACAGUUGGCCCAUUGAUGUCCACAUUAAAUAUUCUUUAUGCAAACCUGGAGCUGCAGCGUGAUAAGAAGAGGCAGCUCCCAUCACAUGCUUUGGAGGAGUGCACAUGUUUGUUUUCACUCUCCUGAGUUCACAGCAGACGUUCAGUGGUGAGGGCUGCAGUAUGCGCAUCACAGGGCAUUCCAAGUUGGGGAUAAACAGAGAAGAGGAAAAAAAAAGAGGACUUUGUGUUCACUGGCUAAAAUUGAUUCAGCAAACAUUAACUCUGUAGUUUGUGCUAAUUGAAUGUGUUUUUGGAAUACUCAGUGGGUAGGCAUUAGGCAGUGAUGGGAGAAUGAGACUUUAUGAAAACAUGGAGGAACCCGCCUUAUGCAAUCAGUGACUCACCAUUUGGAAUCAAAUUUUGUUUUGCUGUGAAGAGAAAAAACAAACUUUUUAUUGGUCCAAACAAGUCAGUGAUUGGAGCAUCUUGUAUCCCCACACCCCGAGGUGGGGGUUCAUGAAACCUCACCUUCCCAGAACCGGGUAUUACUGAAUAUGUAUUUGAACUGCACUGUCUUAUUUCAACAAAUUUGCUGCAGAACUUAUGCGUGACAGCCUUUUAAAUCAGCUAUAUAUGUAGCCUUUAUCAGCAAUUUUAUUUGUUUAUUAUAGACUUUUUUUCCCAGUAGCUGUGCCACCCUGUAUCCUUUUCACAUACGGCAGCUGAAGUUGAGAAUUGGCUGGGUUUGGUUAAUACUUAAAUGGGAGACCUCCUGGGAAAACUAUGUUGCUAUUGGCAAAGUUGGUGGUAGGAUCCUGGGUACAUUCUGCCCUCUGUAAAAAUAUAAGUGGUUUUGACUCACCGUGGUUAUUAAAGCUGUGAACUCUACUGUCCUGGUCAAAUAAUCAUUCUCCCCCUUCUGACUGUGCCAUCCUUUGGACUCUGUACACACUUGGCUUCCGAAGGA